rnacentral:rRNA from 1 species
UACGUAGGGGGCUAGCGUUGUCCGGAAUCAUUGGGCGUAAAGAGUGUGUAGGCGGCCCGGUAAGUCCGCUGUGAAAGUCGGGGGCUCAACCCUCGAAUGCCGGUGGAUACUGUCGGGCUAGAGUGCGGAAGAGGCGAGUGGAAUUCCUGGUGUAGCGGUGAAAUGCGCAGAUAUCAGGAGGAACACCGGUGGCGAAGGCGGGAUCCUGGGCCAGUACUGACGCUGAGGAGCGAAAGCGUGGGGAGCAAACAGG